UACGUAGGGGGCAAGCGUUGUCCGGAAUCAUUGGGCGUAAAGAGCGUGUAGGCGGCCUGGUAAGUCCGCUGUGAAAGUCCAGGGCUCAACCCUGGAAUGCCGGUGGAAACUGUCAGGCUCGAGUCCGGAAGAGGCGAGUGGAAUUCCUGGUGUAGCGGUGAAAUGCGCAGAUAUCAGGAGGAACACCAAUGGCGAAGGCAGCUCGCUGGGACGGUACUGACGCUGAGGAGCGAAAGCAUGGGGAGCGAACAGG
rnacentral:rRNA from 1 species